AUUGAACGCUGGCGGCAGGCCUAACACAUGCAAGUCGAGCGGAGCGGCGGACGGGGGAGUAAUGCCUAGGAAUCUACCUGGUAGUGAGGGAUAACGUCCGGAAACGGGCGCUAAUACCGCAUACUAUCAGGUGAGCAUCGGUUGGAUUAGCUAGUUGGUGGGGUAAAGGCCUACCAGGGCGACGAUCCGUAACGGGUCUGAGAGGAUGAUCAGUCACACUGGAACGGAGACACGGUCCGGACUCCUACGGGAGGCAGCAGUGGGGAAUAUUGGACAAUGGGCGAAAGCCUGAUCCAGCCACGCCGCGUGGGUGAAGAAGGUCUUCGGAUCGUAAAGCACUUUUAGUUGGGAGGCGUUAUCUACAGAAUAAGCAACGGCUAACUUCGUGCCAGCAGCCGCGGUAAUAC
rnacentral:rRNA from 1 species